ACGCUAGCGACAGGCUUAACACAUGCAAGUCGAGGGGCAGCACAGGUAGCAAUACCGGGUGGCGACCGGCGCACGGGUGAGUAACGCGUAUGCAACUUGCCUAUCAGAGGGGGAUAACCCGGCGAAAGUCGGACUAAUACCGCAUGAAGCAGGGGCCCCGCAUGGGGAUAUUUGCUAAAGAUUCAUCGCUGAUAGAUAGGCAUGCGUUCCAUUAGGCAGUUGGCGGGGUAACGGCCCACCAAACCGACGAUGGAUAGGGGUUCUGAGAGGAAGGUCCCCCACAUUGGUACUGAGACACGGACCAAACUCCUACGGGAGGCAGCAGUGAGGAAUAUUGGUCAAUGGCCGAGAGGCUGAACCAGCCAAGUCGCGUGAGGGAUGAAGGUUCUAUGGAUCGUAAACCUCUUUUAUAAGGGAAUAAAGUGCGGGACGUGUCCCGUUUUGUAUGUACCUUAUGAAUAAGGAUCGGCUAACUCCGUGCCAGCAGCCGCGGUAAUACGGAGGAUCCGAGCGUUAUCCGGAUUUAUUGGGUUUAAAGGGUGCGUAGGCGGCCUUUUAAGUCAGCGGUGAAAGUCUGUGGCUCAACCAUAGAAUUGCCGUUGAAACUGGGGGGCUUGAGUAUGUUUGAGGCAGGCGGAAUGCGUGGUGUAGCGGUGAAAUGCAUAGAUAUCACGCAGAACCCCGAUUGCGAAGGCAGCCUGCCAAGCCAUUACUGACGCUGAUGCACGAAAGCGUGGGGAUCAAACAGGAUUAGAUACCCUGGUAGUCCACGCAGUAAACGAUGAUCACUAGCUGUUUGCGAUACACUGUAAGCGGCACAGCGAAAGCGUUAAGUGAUCCACCUGGGGAGUACGCCGGCAACGGUGAAACUCAAAGGAAUUGACGGGGGCCCGCACAAGCGGAGGAACAUGUGGUUUAAUUCGAUGAUACGCGAGGAACCUUACCCGGGUUUGAACGCAUUCGGACCGAGGUGGAAACACCUUUUCUAGCAAUAGCCGUUUGCGAGGUGCUGCAUGGUUGUCGUCAGCUCGUGCCGUGAGGUGUCGGCUUAAGUGCCAUAACGAGCGCAACCCUUGCCACUAGUUACUAACAGGUAAAGCUGAGGACUCUGGUGGGACUGCCAGCGUAAGCUGCGAGGAAGGCGGGGAUGACGUCAAAUCAGCACGGCCCUUACAUCCGGGGCGACACACGUGUUACAAUGGCGUGGACAAAGGGAGGCCACCUGGCGACAGGGAGCGAAUCCCCAAACCACGUCUCAGUUCGGAUCGGAGUCUGCAACCCGACUCCGUGAAGCUGGAUUCGCUAGUAAUCGCGCAUCAGCCAUGGCGCGGUGAAUACGUUCCCGGGCCUUGUACACACCGCCCGUCAAGCCAUGGGAGCCGGGGGUACCUGAAGUCCGUAACCGCGAGGAUCGGCCUAGGGUAAAACUGGUGACUGGGGCUAAGU
rnacentral:rRNA from 1 species